rnacentral:rRNA from 1 species
AGGAUUCCUUUAGUAAUGGCGAAUGAACAAGGAACAGCUCAAAUUGACAGUNUGAACCCAAGGUUUCGACUUGCGUGUUCUAAUUGCGUUGCCAAUGCAAGUGUGCAUGUAAGGCUUUUGGGAAAAAGCGGGAAUGAAGGUGAAACUCCUGCGCGGCAUGUGCAAUCUUUCAUGCAAGGCGUGCUCUUAAGAGUCGCGUUCCUUGGCAUUGAAGCGCAAAACGGGUGGUAAACUUCAUCCAAAGCUAAAUAUUGGGUUGAGACCGAUAGCAAACAAGUACCAUGAGGGAAUUGUGAAAAGGACUUUGGAAAGAAAGUUAGAAGUACCUGAAAUUGCUGAAAUCAAAGCAAAUGGCAUGUCUGAAGUCAAGCAAGAUUGCGGUGCGCAGCUUUCAGUCAGCUGGUGUGUAUGCUUAAGCAUCCUAGGCUGUUUCCGCGUACAGUGCGUCUUGCUUUGUAUGUCAAAACCAAGCUGCGGUGCCAAUGUUAUGAGCAUGAGGUAACUACCAUCGCUUGGUGUGAUCAUGCCCACAUCUGGCAUUUGGUUUGGUUGUUGUUGCCAGGUGGUGUGCUACGUGGAAGGCUUAUGCUUUUGGGGUGCGCUUGGCAUUUUCAUUGACCUGACGUUUCAUUUGACCCGUCUUGAAACAGGGACCAAGGAGUCUAAUGCAUGUGCAAGUUUGUGGGUUUACAAUUUGGGGCAUAAUGAAAAUGACAGUCGGGAUGUGUGCACCGACAACCGACCAAUCAAUUGUGAGAGGUUUGAGUUUGAGCAUGUUGAUUAGGACCCGAAAGAUGGUGAACUAUGCUUGAGAAGAAUAAAUUCAGGGGAAACUCUGAUGGAGGCUUGCAGCGGUACUGACGUGCAAAUCGUUCGUCACACUUGGGUAUAGGGGCGAAAGACUAAUCGAACCAUCUAGUAGCUGGUUCCCUCCGAAGUUUCCCUCAGGAUAGCUGGAGCUGCAGAGUUUCAUCAGGUAAAGCGAAUGAUUAGAGGAAUUGGGGGCGCGUUGUCCUCGACCUAUUCUCAAACUUUAAAUGGGUAAGUUCCAAUGGUUGUUUUGUAAACUUUUGGGGAAAUGGAAAAUCUAUGUGGGCCAUUUUUGGUAAGCAGAAUUGGCGAUGAGGGAUGAACCUAACGUUGGGAUAAGGUGCUUUACUGCUCGCUCAUCAGAUACCAUAAAAGGUGUUGGUUCAUUUAAACAGCAGGACGGUGGUCAUGGAAGUCGAAAUCCGCUAAGGAGUGUGUAACAACUCACCUGCCGAAUGGACUAGCCCUGAAAAUGGAUGGCGCUCAAGCGGGUGACCAAUACCUAACCGCUGUGGAACAGUUUAUCAACAGUGAGUAGGGGGGUUCAAUAGCU